CUGUAGAGCACUACUGGAUACAGGAGCUACGACAUCGUAUGCGUCUGCAUAUCUUCUCAGCCUAAUGAAGAUCAAUCCAUCUAAUACCUUGACGCGGUGUAUUCAAACCAUCACAGGGACAAUAACGAAGCAUGUUGAAAUCUACAAUCUUGAAGUUAGCAACACAGAAGGAAACUUUGUUAUCCCAGUGAAUGUAACAAAAGUUGACCGCAGAACUCUCUUGUCAGUUGUGAAUCAAAAUUACCCAGAGUUGAUUAGUCGGUUCCAACACCUACAAGGUGUGAAUAUGGUGGAAACGGAUACCAAAUCAGUCUUUCCAGUACACCUCAUAUUGGGGGCAGCAGAAUAUUCAAG